rnacentral:rRNA from 1 species
GGUUACUGCUAUCGGUGUUCGCCUAAGCCAUGCGAGUCAUAUGUUCUUCGUGAACAUGGCGUACUGCUCAGUAACACGUGGAUAACCCGCCCUUGGGUCCGGCAUAACCCCGGGAAACUGGGGAUAAUUCCGGAUAACGCACAUAUGCUGGAAUGCUUUAUGCGUCAAAUGGAUUCGUCUGCCCAAGGAUGGGUCUGCGGCCUAUCAGGUAGUAGUGGGUGUAAUGUACCUACUAGCCGACGACGGGUACGGGUUGUGAGAGCAAGAGCCCGGAGAUGGAUUCUGAGACAUGAAUCCAGGCCCUACGGGGCGCAGCAGGCGCGAAAACUUUACAAUGCGGGAAACCGUGAUAAGGGGACACCGAGUGCCAGCAUCAUAUGCUGGCUGUCCGGGUGUGUAAAAUACACCUGUUAGCAAGGGCCGGGCAAGACCGGUGCCAGCCGCCGCGGUAACACCGGCGGCCCGAGUGGUGAUCGUGAUUAUUGGGUCUAAAGGGUCCGUAGCCGGUUUGGUCAGUCCUCCGGGAAAUCUGACGGCUUAACCGUUAGGCUUUCGGAGGAUACUGCCAGGCUUGGAACCGGGAGAGGUAAGAGGUACUACAGGGGUAGGAGUGAAAUCUUGUAAUCCCUGUGGGACCACCUGUGGCGAAGGCGUCUUACCAGAACGGGUUCGACGGUGAGGGACGAAAGCUGGGGGCACGAACCGGAUUAGAUACCCGGGUAGUCCCAGCCGUAAACGAUGCUCGCUAGGUGUCAGGCAUGGCGCGACCGUGUCUGGUGCCGUAGGGAAGCCGUGAAGCGAGCCACCUGGGAAGUACGGCCGCAAGGCUGAAACUUAAAGGAAUUGGCGGGGGAGCACAACAACGGGUGGAGCCUGCGGUUU